AGACAGCAUCUUGCUAUGUUGUUCAGGCUAGUCUUGAACUGCUGACCUCAAACAAUCCUCCUGCCUUGGCCUCCCAAAGUGCUGGAGUUACAGGCGGUAGCCACCAUGGGCAGCCCCAGUCCAGGGUAUAUUUUUAAAGUGCAAGUUUUUAAUAAGCAGUCCAUCUUUACAUUUGAUGAUUAUAAUGGUAUUUGUGUUGCCAUUUAGAAAUAAAACUGGCAUGUAAAAAUGCCUUUUCAAGGAACAAAGGUUAGAAACUAUUAAGAUUAUUAGGAUAAGCUGCUUGCCACUAUUGAGACAUUUAUCUUGGUGAAUGACUAGGCUCAUGUUUAUAAUGUCUAUGUAACAUUUAAAUGUUGCAGAAUCUCUGAGAAAGACAUGGCAAUUAUGCAUUGUGUUGUCAUUUCAAAGAUAGUUGAGGGUAAUUUGUACUUUGGAGACUGAUAUUUGCCUAACUUUUAAAUAUUUCUUCCUAAAAUUUUAAUCUGUGUUGUGAAACUGUCCUUCCAGUUAUGUUAGUCAAAAUCUUGGUGUAAUAAAUCAGUCAAGUUACAUUUUUUUUCUUUUGGUUAAGUUUUCUUUUUAUAGGUAUACGUAUGUUUCAUUCAAUAGAAAAGUAAUCUUCACUCCGUAUAGAGUGAGCAAACCGCGUGCAUAGAGUUUAUGUUACUACGGAUUUCACCUUGUGCCGGUAUUGUGCUACUUUUUUCCCCUGAUAAGUCAGAACUUCAACAGUUAUUUGUUUUGAUAUUGUGCCCUACUUACAGUAUAAUUUAACGGAGGCUAACCUGGAUUUUUUGGAAAUGACAUUUGAAUGGCAUUGUAUUGCAUUUUAAUAAGGACUUAGCAGUGUUUUACUAGUAAGUUGACUUUCAGAUACUGUAGUAUCAUUGUGCUUAAGAAAAGAUUUAACCUUUUACAGUUUUUGAUCUUCUCUUUUUAUAAUGGGAUGGGUAUUGGUAGCAGGAAAAGAAAGUGAUUAUCAUCUGAUAAAACCUAUGAAGAGUAUAUCAUAUCUUUUUCACACAGAUCAGAUUUCUCUUGACUGAAGAGUUAAUUUCUAAAUGUUAAUCUGUAUUUUAAAAAUGUUAAUAAUUUCUGGCAUGUCCUAGCCUGAUAAAAAAGUUUUUUUUUAAAACAUGAUUUAUGCUAAUAUUAUUUUGUUUUGUUUUGUUUCUCGAGUCGGGGAAAAUAUUCUGUCAAUGGGUAUUUGUAUUGUUUUGUUUUUAAGAAUUUCAGCUCUAGAAUAUACAGUUCUCAUACCAAAAUAUGUAAUGUCUUUAAGAAUUCUAAUGUUAUUUAAGAAUUUUGAUGUUAUUUAAAAAUUUUAAUGUUGUGUUUCUUUAUAAAUGUUUUUUUUUGUUUUGUUUCCAUUUAGAUCUCGAAUAUCUGAUGCAUGCAAAACAGCAGCUAGUAACCACAGCUAAGCGUUGGGAUUCUUCCUCUAAGACUAUUAUAGAUUUUGAACCUAAUGAAACUACUGAUUUGGAGAAGAGCCUUCUUAUCAGAUACCAAAUUCCCCUCUCUGCUGACCAGCUAUUUACCCAGUCCGUUUUAGACAAGUCAUUGACCAAGACCAACUAUCAGUCACGGUUACAUGACCUUCUUUAUAUUGAGGAGAUAGCCCAGUAUAAAGAAAUCAGCAAGUAAACCCUUACAGUGCAG